rnacentral:rRNA from 1 species
UACGUAGGUGACAAGCGUUGUCCGGAUUUACUGGGCGUAAAGAGCGCGCAGGCGGUCGUUCAAGUCGAGUGUGAAAGCCCCCCGGCUCAACUGGGGAGGGUCAUUCGAUACUGAUCGACUCGAAGGCAGGAGAGGGUAGUGGAAUUCCCGGUGUAGUGGUGAAAUGCGUAGAUAUCGGGAGGAACACCAGUGGCGAAGGCGACUACCUGGCCUGUUCUUGACGCUGAGGCGCGAAAGCUAGGGGAGCAAACGGG